ACGCUCGACACCUACGGGGGCAGCAGUGGGGAAUAUUGCACAAUGGAGGAAACUCUGAUGCAGCGAUGCCGCGUGAGGGAAGAAGGUUUUCGGAUUGUAAACCUCUGUCUUUGGGGACGAUAAUGACGGUACCCAAGGAGGAAGCUCCGGCUAACUACGUGUCAGCAGCCGCGGUAAUCUGAGCGGGCUGGCAAGGC
rnacentral:rRNA from 1 species